rnacentral:rRNA from 1 species
UACAGAGGUCUCAAGCGUUGUUCGGAUUCAUUGGGCGUAAAGGGUGCGUAGGUGGCGGGGUAAGUCAGGUGUGAAAUUUCGGAGCUUAACUCCGAAACUGCAUUUGAUACUGCCUUGCUUGAGGACUGGAGAGGAGAGUGGAAUUCACGGUGUAGCAGUGAAAUGCGUAGAGAUCGUGAGGAAGACCAGUGGCGAAGGCGGGUCUCUGGACAGUUCCUGACACUGAGGCACGAAGGCCAGGGGAGCAAACGGG